rfam:Erinaceus europaeus unplaced genomic scaffold scaffold00029, whole genome shotgun sequence
UCAAAAGUUUUCCUAAAAACUACUAAUAAUCAUUAGGAAGAUAUAU